ACUGCAGUCUUGGACUAUUACGUUACGAAUUGCAAUUUAUUUCCGCUUAGAACAGUCUGCAAUGUCUUUCUUUCUCAUACUCCGAGAUGAAUACAUUAUUUGCCACGCUUUCAGCAGAAUGCAGAUCAAUGGGGGCGCACUGACCAGAUC
rnacentral:lncRNA from 1 species